rnacentral:rRNA from 1 species
UGCUCAGGACGAACGCUGGCGGCGUGCUUAACACAUGCAAGUCGAACGAUGAAGCAGAGCUUGCUCUGUGGAUUAGUGGCGAACGGGUGAGUAACACGUGAGCAAUCUGCCCUUGACUCUGGGAUAAGCGUUGGAAACGACGUCUAAUACCGGAUACGACCAUCCCUGGCAUCGGGAGGUGGUGGAAAGAAUUUCGGUCAAGGAUGAGCUCGCGGCCUAUCAGCUAGUUGGUGAGGUAAUGGCUCACCAAGGCGACGACGGGUAGCCGGCCUGAGAGGGUGACCGGCCACACUGGGACUGAGACACGGCCCAGACUCCUACGGGAGGCAGCAGUGGGGAAUAUUGCACAAUGGGCGAAAGCCUGAUGCAGCAACGCCGCGUGAGGGACGACGGCCUUCGGGUUGUAAACCUCUUUUAGCAGGGAAGAAGCGAAAGUGACGGUACUUGCAGAAAAAGCACCGGCUAACUACGUGCCAGCAGCCGCGGUAAUACGUAGGGUGCAAGCGUUGUCCGGAAUUAUUGGGCGUAAAGAGCUCGUAGGCGGUUUGUCGCGUCUGCUGUGAAAUCCCGAGGCUCAACCUCGGGCCUGCAGUGGGUACGGGCAGACUAGAGUGCGGUAGGGGAGAUUGGAAUUCCUGGUGUAGCGGUGGAAUCCGCAGAUAUCAGGAGGAACACCGAUGGCGAAGGCAGAUCUCUGGGCCGUAACUGGCGCUGAGGAGCGAAAGCGUGGGGAGCGAACAGGAUUAGAUACCCUGGUAGUCCACGCCGUAAACGUUGGGAACUAGAUGUGGGGACCUUUCCACGGUCUCCGUGUCGCAGCUAACGCAUUAAGUUCCCCGCCUGGGGAGUACGGCCGCAAGGCUAAAACUCAAAUGAAUUGACGG